GGAGGCGUGCGGGUGCCUGGUGGCCCUCCCGGUCUUCAAAACCGCGGUGCCCGAGGAUCUCGGGCAGGGGGGUUCGAUUCCCCUACGCCUCCG
rnacentral:tRNA from 1 species